rnacentral:rRNA from 1 species
AUGGAGGAGCCUCUCAUGGUAUUUGAGGUGCAUGAUGAUGGGCAAGUCAAGAUGACAGUAGUCGGCCUCGAUCUACGGAAAGCGCAUAGACCGGAGUACAUGGUCCCUCCGAAUGUGUUCUUUGGCACCUUCCUGACCCAAGACAUCGAGUACUUCAUUGAUGGCGGCGGUGUUUUUGUCAAGACAUCCGGGCGGGACCCUGGCCUGCACUAUUAUUUCGUUGGAGUGACUUGUGCCCCGGCGUGCAGUUUGAGGACAGUGAAAUGGCCACACGUGACGACAUGA